rnacentral:rRNA from 1 species
AUUUUUAUAAGUAAAAUUUGCUCAAUGUUUUAUAAAUAGCCGCAGAAUUUUAACUGUGCUAAGGUAGCAUAAUCAUUUACCUUUUAAUUAAAGGUCUGUAUGAAGGAUUUAACAAUUAAAUUACUUUUUUAUUAACAUUUUUAAAAUUUAAUUAAAUAUAAAAAUGUAUUUAUUAUAAAAAAAGACGACAAGACCCUAUUGAACUUUACUAAAGUUUAGCUGGGGAAGCUAAUUAAAUAUUAUUUUAAUUUUUUUUUUUUUAAUAAAUUUCUGAUUUAACCGAUAUAAAUAAGUUACCAUAGGGAUAACAGCGUAAUAAUUUUUUAAAGCUCUUAUUAAAAAAGAAGUUUACGACCUCGAUGUUGAAUUAAAUUUACUUUAAACCGCAAUAGUAUAAAAGUGGGUCUGU